rnacentral:lncRNA from 1 species
GACUCCUCAUUACUAGUUAUGACUUGGAUGACCUUUGUUACUUAGGAGCCUCUAUCCCCUAACUUACUUAAGGUGAACUUCGAUGGUAGUAUUGUUGAUAAUAAUCAUAGAGAUUGUUUACCAAAGAUAGCAACCCACAAAUGGAAGGUGAAUUGAAUUUUUUUAAAAAUUAACUUUCAAUUUUUUGUACCCGAAAACAAUCUUAGAGAUGUUUAUGGAGUGGUUAGUUGAUAAUAGAUAAAGGCAGU